CGUCGUACCAUUUUGAUUGCAUUAAAGUUGCAACUUAAACCAUUUCCUCCUCUUUUUCGAUCCUUUGGCAGCAAAGAAUCCGCUCAGUUGAUGUCCCGUUCGCUGUAGAUCCUUUUCAUCUGAUAUUUUCGCCAAUGUUUUUUACAUUCUGCGUGUAAAAAAAGAAAGUUAUCUACCAGGCGCAUCUAUCUCGCAUAGACCUAAGUUGCGGGAUCAAGUAUUUUUUUAGUCAAUUUUUAAUCAGAUAUGUUUUGACAUAAUUCAUCAUUUUUUGUUUGGCACCAAUUUUCCAAUUGACACCCGAAUCGCCAAUGAAAUUUAUAAUUUUCUGGGGCUCUUCCUCCGCCUCGCAGUGCCAUCACUAGAAAUGCAACUUGCAGACACCAUCAACGAGCUUCUGUCUAUGGAAUCCCAUCGAGAGUCAUCAAACAAACAUCGCAUGAAGCUCAUAGUUGUGCAUGUCUCUCUUGCUGCACUCUUUCUUCCGGAUGGAUCAGAUGACCUAAAUUGGGACGUCUAUUGUUUCAUGAGCGGGGAGGAUGACGUUAUGCCAAACCUGUAAGUCGAUCUUGAUCAACACCUUUUUAUUUUCCUCAAUUCUUCCGGGGCCUUGCAAGGAUACCAACGAUUCACGUUGCUAAAACCGGCCAAUUGAUUCUCCUUAGGGAUUAUGAGAUACUGAGCUUAGAAAAUGCGUGUCGAGAAAAACGAAAACUGUCCCCCUACGUACCCAACGUUGGCCAGAUCUGGCCAACAAUCAAUUUUUAACUUUUUCGAUCCUUUGACAGAAAAGAGUCCGCUCAGUUUAUUUCCCAUUCGCUGCAGAUCGUCGCACGAGGUUGUCAAUCGACCAAUGUCAACUAAUUCACUCGUUCGGGCUGUGGAAAAAUUAUUAUCAUUACGGAAUUGUUUAUUGCAGACGACAUUCAACUCCCCAUGGCCACCUCCUAACGCCGACUGUGGCCAGUUGGUUCCAAGUGAAGAACAACACAGUCUCUAUCUGGCUUUAAAAAUGUCCUUCAGAUAUUGUUGUUAUCUUAGUUAAAUCAAAAUAUAAAAAAAAAUUACUUCAGUUUUUCAGGCUGAUUCCACAAUCAACCUCAAAGAGUUGCUGCUUGUUGGCAUUACAGUACGGAUUUGACUUAAACUCGUCGUCACUUAAACUGAGCUGAGAAAACUGGACCGACAGUAUCCCAAGACAGAGAUUCUCAACGAGUUUUGAGCCGUUUCAUCCAAGGAAUGGAAAAGCAGAUUGAAGAUUCCAGCUGGAGAUCUUUUAACAGUAGCCGUUCGCGAGAGAACAGUACAGAUUCCAGGAUUUCUGUGUUCUCCUCCAAGAAUUAAAGACUCGGAGGAUUACAUCAUCUCCAGCCAGAUAAUGUGACUGCUUAGGACCGCGAGCGUGAAGAGAGAAAUUCCUACCCGUUAAAUUACACCUUAAUAAAGGGAACUACGAUUUCCUUCUCCAUCGUGCAUCCAGUGAAUUGAGUGUAGUGGCAUUGAUAGUAAUACUUAAAGGACAGGAUCGGCCCUAGACGAAGUUUACACACCCGAUCCUCCUCCAACACACAGAACGUAACUAUUGUGAUUCGAUCGUACUUUCUCGGAUCAGCAGUACCCGGGGUUUCGAAAGUCGGCUGGUGGUUGGAUGGGGCAAUGUCCCCGUCCAAUCGAAAGCAAAGAUAGUCGUUCCGCUCAUGCGUUCAUCUGGGACACAGAAGAGGACAUCUGGCGGCCAGAUUUAUCUUCAGUUGUUGGGCGCAGGCUAGCUAUCUGUUUAGCCCCUACCUUCUUCUUGGUUCUUUUUCAAAUUUCAGUUGAAGCGUGGCUUCGAGAGUAAGGGAUGCCACUAUCCUUCGAUUGGGGUUUCGAUUCGAUGUUAGCUGUAUAUUUGUUGGCAGAUUGAUUGUUAGAAUUUGUGAUUUGUGAUG